UACCGUGGGCGGAGCCAGAUCACGUGACCCCCAGGCACCCAAUGAGGCAGAGGAAGCUCCCUCCGACUCAACGUCUGCGAUUUGAGACUAGGAGCCUCCUCGCCCACGUGUCGAGAGUUCAAUGCUUCAGUGCAAGUUACUCGAGGCGACUGUAUGGUCUUGGUGUGGUCCUUUGGCUGUCGGUGUUGGUGUUUUGCCAUCUUGCCCAAGCUUGGAUAUGAUGUUGACAAAUCUACAGGAAGGAACUUCCAAUCGUGGAGCGACGCGCGAAUGAAGCGACCCGACCUCCCAUCGGGAUAUGAUGGCUGGCAGGUGGUUGAAGCUAUCCCGCAGGAAGCGAGCGCAGGUUCCGAGGAGGAGCGCCAUGUGGUGGUGUAAGCACUCAGCCUGCUGAAGCGCGGGAGUGCAGAUCGGCGACCCCACGAGGUGGAGACAGGAGGGUCAGGGUCCCCCCAGGGGGAAAACAGCGGCGCGUGCUGGUGCGCGUGCCAGCGAGCGAGUACCUCCGCCUGGCCGUGGACCACUUCUCGCUCGUGCUGGUGGCGUGCAUGUGCGUACCCGACACGGUCGCCGAGGUCGCGCGCGUGCACGUGACCCACGUGCGUUCCCCACGCUUGCGCGUGCACGUGAGUGGCACGCUACAGCAGCAUCAACAAUAACAACAACAGCAGCAACAACUAUACGUCUCAAAAUUUAUUUUA